AGCGAACGCUGGCGGCAGGCCUAACACAUGCAAGUCGAACGAACCCUUCGGGGUUAGUGGCGGACGGGUGAGUAACACGUGGGAACGUGCCUUUAGGUUCGGAAUAACUCAGGGAAACUUGUGCUAAUACCGAAUGUGCUCUUCGGGGGAAAGAUUUAUCGCCUUUAGAGCGGCCCGCGUCUGAUUAGUUAGUUGGUGAGGUAAUGGCUCACCAGGGCUACGAUCAGUAGCUGGCCUGAGAGGAUGACCAGCCACAUUGGGACUGAGACACGGCCCAAACUCCUACGGGAGGCAGCAGUGGGGAAUCUUGCGCAAUGGGCGAAAGCCUGACGCAGCCAUGCCGCGUGGAUGAUGAAGGUCUUAGGAUUGUAAAAUCCUUUCACCGGUGAAGAUAAUGACUGUAGCCGGAGAAGAAGCCCCGGCUAACUUCGUGCCAGCCGCCGCCGUAACAC
rnacentral:rRNA from 1 species